rnacentral:lncRNA from 1 species
CUCUUUCACUGCUAUGAGGUUGAAGAUUGAAUUUAUUCAGACUCUUCUUCAAUAGCUUUAUUUUCUUGAACACUUAUAAUAUUUUACACCCUUGAAUUUGAUGUUCCCUAACCAGUUCUUACAACUUCUUGGAACUGGGGAUGUUUUCCCCAUGAAUUGCAAUACAAAAACGACCCUUUUCCUCUAAUCUCUUUCUUUAGUCAAAUCCACCUUUAUAGGGAAAUAGUCUUUUAUGCCAUCUGUUACAAAAAUCGUCUCACUAGUAGUCAUGUUAUUCAACCAUUCAUUCUUAAACAAAGCCUAAUCAAUCUUUGAGUAAGUUCUUUCAUCACUCCCUUUAUCACUUCAAG